rnacentral:rRNA from 1 species
GACGAACGCUGGCGGCGUGCUUAACACAUGCAAGUCGAACGGAAAGGCCCUGCUUUCGUGGGGUGCUCGAGUGGCGAACGGGUGAGUAACACGUGAGUAACCUGCCCUUGACUUUGGGAUAACUUCAGGAAACUGGGGCUAAUACCGGAUAGGAGCUCCUGCUGCAUGGUGGGGGUUGGAAAGUUUCGGCGGUUGGGGAUGGACUCGCGGCUGAUCAGCUAGUUGGUGGGGUAAUGGAUUACCAAGGCUUUGAUGGGUAGCCGGCCUGAGAGGGUGAACGGCCACAUUGGGACUGAGACACGGCCCAAACGCAGACGGGAGGCAGCAGUGGGGAAUCGUCCGCAAUGGGCGAAAGCCGGACGGAGCAAUGCCGCGUGAGUGAAGAAGGCCUUCGGGUUGUAAAACUCUGUCCUUAUCGAAGAGAGAGUGUUGUAGUAAUUGACAAUACUAGGACGGUAGAUGAGGAGGAAGCCCCGGCGAACUAUGGG